rnacentral:lncRNA from 1 species
ACUUGUAAAAUAAAACAUACCUUCCAAUAAGGUAAGUCAAAGAAAAUAGAUUUUUUCUUCCACCGCCACAGAUCAUCAUCUUCCUCACAGUCGUCAGCUGAAAGAACAUCAUCUUCACCUCCUUCUAUCCUUUUCCGCUUACUCUUCUUAGGUAAAGGUUUCCCAAAAUCGUUUUUAAAGUCCUUAAGACUGUCAAAUAUAUCGCAGCCACUCUGAAUCCUCUUUGCAGUACCAACCUCCACUGUAUUGUCAAACCAUCCUUUCCUUCUUCUAUAAGGAUGACUAGGCCUGAGCCGCUUCCUGUUCUCCAUGUAAACAUGUUUGCGACUAAACUUUAGCCACCUAUGAGGUGUACCAUUCCCGCAGACAUUACACGCUUGCUUCCCUUUCACUUUACACCCAGCUAAUGUGCCUAAACCAGGAUAAUCGGUGAUACUCCACAUCAUCAUAGCUCUAAGUGUAAAACUCUCCUUCUUAAACGAAUCAUAAACUUCCAUACCUUCUGUCCACAAAUCAUGCAAGUCCUCUAUCAAUGGCUGUAGAUAUACAUCAAUGUUGUUGCUAGGUGCGGUUGGACCAGGUAUCAACAUUAUCAACAUGAUGUUCUCGGACCUCAUACACUUUGUCGGAGCCAUAUUGUAGUUGACUAAUAGAACUGGCCAUGUGCUAUGCUUCGUGUUCUGGAUAGAGAACGGAUUCAUGCCAUCUGUUGAAAUACCUAGUCUUAGGUUUCUUGCUUCAGCAGCGAACUCUGGCCAUUUGUUGUUUAUCUGAGCCCAAGUCAAUGAAUCUACUGGAUGACGCAUAGUUCCAUCUUCAGAAGCAUUAGUGGAGUGCCAACACAAGUCCUCUGCCAACCGCUUUGAUCUAAACAUUCUCCUGAACCUGUCUUUAAUCGGAAAAUACCUAAGCACCUUAACAGGAAUCCCUUUCUUCUCCUCACCAGUCUGCUUAUCCUUCUCCCAUCUUGAUUCACUACAUCUUGGACAGCUGACUGCAUCCUCAAACUCUUUUCUAUACAAAAUGCAGUCAUUCUUGCAGACGUGGAUGACAUCAUACCCAAAACCAAACUGUUUCAGAAACUUCUUCAUCUCAUCUGUAGACUUAGGUAGAACGUUUUCACCGGGAAGCAGAUCAUGAACUAGGGACAGAAGCUGAUCGAAAUAGUUCUCAGACAUCCCACUCUUCACCUUUAUCCUGUAAAGUCCCAUGAUUGCAGCAACCUUCGUAAAUUUCAGACAGUUUGGGUACAACGGAGUUUCUGCAUUCUUUAACUUCUUUCUAAACUCAACUUCUUCUGGCGUAUCAGUGCCGUCAAACACUCCAGCAUUCUCCUCUGCGUAUCCUUUGCUGCCUUGACUUCGCAUGAAGGUUGUUCUGAACAUGUCGUAAGCCUCAUUUUCAGACCAGAUCACAUUAGCUGACUUAUCAGGUCUUGUCUCCCCGUGUUUAGACCAAAACUUACAGCUCUUGUACUUCUCAUCCAUUCCUCUAAUCACCAGGUGCUCGAAAACUUUCUCACUAGAUUGGUGGCAGACAUUGCGACAAUCAACCCUAAUAGAACGGAUUCAUGCCAUCUGUUGAAAUACCUAGUCUUAGGUUUCUUGCUUCAGCAGAGAACUCUGGCCAUUUAUUGUUUAUCUGAGCUCAAGUCAAUGAAUCUACUGGAUGACGCAUAGUUCCAUCUUCAGAAGCAUUAGUGGAGUGCCAACACAAGUCCUCUGCCAACCGCUUUGAUAUAAACAUUCUCCUGAACCUGUCUUUAAUCGGAAAAUACCUAAGCACCUUAACAGGAAUCCUUUCUUCUCCUCACCAGUCUGCUUAUCCUUCUCCCAUCUUGAUUCACUACAUCUUGGACAGCUGACUGCAUCCUCAAACUCUUUUCUAUACAAAAUGCAGUCAUUCUUGCAGACGUGGAUGACAUCAUACCCAAAACCAAACUGUUUCAGAAACUUCUUCAUCUCAUCUGUAGACUUAGGUAGAACGUUUUCACCGGGAAGCAGAUCAUGAACUAGGGACAGAAGCUGAUCGAAAUAGUUCUCAGACAUCCCACUCUUCACCUUUAUCCUGUAAAGUCCCAUGAUUGCAGCAACCUUCGUAAAUUUCAGACAGUUUGGGUACAACGGAGUUUCUGCAUCCUUUAACUUCUUUCUAAACUCAACUUCUUCUGGC